rnacentral:misc_RNA from 1 species
UCGAGUAAGGGUCCUCUGGGCCCGACCUCCAACCCUGUGUCUACCUCACCACGUUGCUUCGGCGGGCCCGUCUCACGACCGCCGGGGGGUGCAUCACCCCCUGGCCCGCGCCCGUCGACGGCCUCCAAUUCAAACUCUGUAUAACUGUGUUGUCUGAGUACCAAAACAAAAAUUAAAACA